CGCAGAGUGGGCCUACAGCCAACUGGGAUGAAUUCUUGGGUGGAACCUAAACAGAUGGGAAAUAGUAUAAAGGUGAAUACAAGGUUUGCUGAAGUAAACGCCAAUCCUCCUGCACUUGGCUCAGACGGAAAAGGUUAAAGCUCUGUGAAAUGCAUGGGACCAUCCUCCAAGAGUCUUCCUGUCUGAGGGAUGGCUGCUGAAACUUCUCCACGGUUUGCUCUCUCCGCUGUCUCUCCAAGUGGGGAGUCUUGUGCUCUGAUGUUCAACUCAGACAAUUGGC